rnacentral:lncRNA from 1 species
GCUACAGUGCUACUGGCCCAUAAUCAGGCAACUGCAGAGUCUUAGGGGGUUAUCUAAUGUAGUCUUGGGGUGGCUGGAUAGACUUCCCAAAGAAGGUGAUGCCGAAGCUGAGGUCGGAAAUUACGAAGAUCAGCUAUCAAACUUGGAAAUCAUGUCUUAGAGAUCAAGGAGCCAAGAGAUGAGACAAGCCUGGGUUCCUAGGUGAUAGGGUGUGGCUGUGUCCCCACCCAAAUCUCGUCUUGAAUUGUAGCUCCCAUAAUCCCCACAUGUUGUGGAGGGACCCUGUGGAAGAUCUUUAAUAAAUGAAAUAAAUGUGACUGUAUGUCCUACAUCCCAUUCCUGUUGUCUUCCAUGUCUCCUCAGAGGAUAAGUCAAUUGAGCUUCACUUCUCUAAUUGAAAUCACCGUGCUGAUGGAGUCUGUCUGUGGAAAUGAAAGGUGGCUACCAUAAUCUGUUGGGAGUUGAAUUAAUCCUCUGGGAGUGAGGCUGACCUAAUUACUCAGAAAUACUGGGCUUGCUUUCAUUCUGUGGAAUACAGCCAUGAGAAAGAGGCCAGCAUGCCAUUUCCUAAUCUUUUCUUGAAUUGCCUGAAACUCACCUAACAUGAAACUGAGAAGCCUUUUCAUUUGAAAGUGGUAUUUCUUAUGUUUUUUAUCUUUUUGCUUGAAAGUAUUCUUAAACUAAAGAAAGGAGAAACAGAAAAGGUGAAGAAGCCAAGAGGCUGGAGUUUCCUUUUGAAUGGAUAUUCAUCCAUGAAGCUGUUGAUUCUGUUUUUCUGUUCCUCCAGAUGUCUACACUUUUACCUCUGCUUGCCUGAUACAACCACCACCAGUCACCUCACAGAAUAACUCACUCCUUAAGAAUCUGAUCAGGAAUCAGCCUUCCCUGAUCACAAACACUGAGUUUAGAAGUCCCUCCACAGUGUCCCCCGUAACCCUGUGCUACCUCACUGCCUCAUAGUUUAGUGCCGUUUGUGUACAUGCCUAUCUUCGUCCAUGGAUCCAGAACAACUUGUAAAAAUGACUGUACUUAUCACCUUCAGUAUUCAAUGACUAAACUAUAAUUUUAACAUAUCUGGCAGAAUGAAUCACUUGGGGAUUUCUGCCAACACUACCAAUAUAUUACUCCUAAUUUGUAAUUAUUACUUAGCAUGGAUUAUAGUACCGGCUGUUGGAGAGCCAAUGUGGCAGACCCUAAGUGGAAUAAAAUGUCAGUAGCAGUCUAGGAGCAUAUAUUUAUUGGAAUAGAUCAUUCAUUCAUUUGUUCAUUAACUAAUUUGUUCAUUAAAUAAACAUUUAUUAAGCA